GGUGCUGCAUGGCUGUCGUCAGCUCGUGUUGUGAAAUGUUGGGUUAAGUCCCGCAACGAGCGCAACCCUUAUCCUUUGUUGCCAGCGAUUCGGUCGGGAACUCAAAGGAGACUGCCAGUGAUAAACUGGAGGAAGGUGGGGAUGACGUCAAGUCAUCAUGGCCCUUACGAGUAGGGCUACACACGUGCUACAAUGGCGCAUACAAAGAGAAGCGACCUCGCGAGAGCAAGCGGACCUCAUAAAGUGCGUCGUAGUCCGGAUUGGAGUCUGCAACUCGACUCCAUGAAGUCGGAAUCGCUAGUAAUCGUGGAUCAGCAUGCCACGGUGAAUACGUUCCCGGGUCUUGUACACACC
rnacentral:rRNA from 1 species